CAUUACUGAGUUUACGCUCUAUAACCCUUUGUGAACAUACCUAUAACUGUUGCUUCGGCGGGUAGGGUCUCCGCGACCCUCCCGGCCUCCCGCCUCCGGGCGGGUCGGCGCCCGCCGGAGGAUAACCAAACUCUGAUUUAACGACGUUUCUUCUGAGUGGUACAAGCAAAUAAUCAAAACUUUUAACAACGGAUCUCUUGGUUCUGGCAUCGAUGAAGAACGCAGCGAAAUGCGAUAAGUAAUGUGAAUUGCAGAAUUCAGUGAAUCAUCGAAUCUUUGAACGCACAUUGCGCCCGCCAGCAUUCUGGCGGGCAUGCCUGUUCGAGCGUCAUUUCAACCCUCAAGCUCUGCUUGGUGUUGGGGCCCUACAGCUGAUGUAGGCCCUCAAAGGUAGUGGCGGACCCUCCCGGAGCCUCCUUUGCGUAGUAACUUUACGUCUCGCACUGGGAUCCGGAGGGACUCUUGCCGUAAAACCCCCCAAUUUUCCAAAGGUUGACCUCGGAUCAGGUAGGAAUACCCGCUGAACUUAAGCAUAUCAAUAAGCGGAGGAA
rnacentral:rRNA from 1 species